UACGGGGGGGGCAAGCGUUGUUCGGAAUUACUGGGCGUAAAGGGUCUGUAGGUGGCUUGCUAAGUCAGACGUGAAAUCCCUCGGCUUAACCGGGGAACUGCGUCUGAUACUGGCGAGCUUGAGUGCAGGAGAGGAACGCGGAAUUCCAGGUGUAGCGGUGAAAUGCGUAGAUAUCUGGAGGAAUACCGGUGGCGAAGGCGGCAUCCUGGACCGACAUUGACGCUGAACGGCGAAAGCUAGGGGAGCAAACGGG
rnacentral:rRNA from 1 species